rnacentral:sRNA from 1 species
GCCAGGCGUGGUGGUGCACACCUGUAAUCCCAGCAGCUCGGGAGGCCGAGGCAGGAGGAUUUCGAGUUCAAAGCCAGCCCCUGCAACUUAGCAAGGCCCUAAACAAUUUAGCAAGAACCUGUCUCUA